rnacentral:misc_RNA from 1 species
AAGUCGUAACAAGGUUUCCGUAGGUGAACCUGCGGAAGGAUCAUUAGAAUGAGAUCCGGACCACGCCGUAGGUGAAAGCCUACACGUGCCAGUAAGCGUCCGUAAACCUCUACCCUUGUAUAUUAUUCUUUGUUGCUUUGGCAGGCCGCGAGCUCUCGGGCGAGCGCUGGCUUCGGCUAGGGAGUGCCUGCCAGAGGACCCAACUCUGUAAUUUAGCGAUGUCUGAGUACUAUUAAAUAGUUAAAA